GGGUUGUGAGGUUAAGCGACUAAGCGUACACGGUGGAUGCCCUGGCAGUCAGAGGCGAUGAAGGACGUGCUAAUCUGCGAUAAGCGUCGGUAAGGUGAUAUGAACCGUUAUAACCGGCGAUUUCCGAAUGGGGAAACCCAGUGUGAUUCGUCACACUAUCAUUAACUGAAUCCAUAGGUUAAUGAGGCGAACCGGGGGAACUGAAACAUCUAAGUACCCCGAGGAAAAGAAAUCAACCGAGAUUCCCCCAGUAGCGGCGAGCGAACGGGGAGCAGCCCAGAGCCUGAAUCAGUGUGUGUGUUAGUGGAAGCGUCUGGAAAGGCGCGCGAUACAGGGUGACAGCCCCGUACACAAAAAUGCACAUACUGUGAGCUCGAUGAGUAGGGCGGGACACGUGGUAUCCUGUCUGAAUAUGGGGGGACCAUCCUCCAAGGCUAAAUACUCCUGACUGACCGAUAGUGAACCAGUACCGUGAGGGAAAGGCGAAAAGAACCCCGGCGAGGGGAGUGAAAAAGAACCUGAAACCGUGUACGUACAAGCAGUGGGAGCACAGAGCAAUCUGUGUGACUGCGUACCUUUUGUAUAAUGGGUCAGCGACUUAUAUUCUGUAGCAAGGUUAACCGAAUAGGGGAGCCGAAGGGAAACCGAGUCUUAACUGGGCGUUAAGUUGCAGGGUAUAGACCCGAAACCCGGUGAUCUAGCCAUGGGCAGGUUGAAGGUUGGGUAACACUAACUGGAGGACCGAACCGACUAAUGUUGAAAAAUUAGCGGAUGACUUGUGGCUGGGGGUGAAAGGCCAAUCAAACCGGGAGAUAGCUGGUUCUCCCCGAAAGCUAUUUAGGUAGCGCCUCGUGAAUUCAUCUCCGGGGGUAGAGCACUGUUUCGGCAAGGGGGUCAUCCCGACUUACCAACCCGAUGCAAACUGCGAAUACCGGAGAAUGUUAUCACGGGAGACACACGGCGGGUGCUAACGUCCGUCGUGAAGAGGGAAACAACCCAGACCGCCAGCUAAGGUCCCAAAGUCAUGGUUAAGUGGGAAACGAUGUGGGAAGGCCCAGACAGCCAGGAUGUUGGCUUAGAAGCAGCCAUCAUUUAAAGAAAGCGUAAUAGCUCACUGGUCGAGUCGGCCUGCGCGGAAGAUGUAACGGGGCUAAACCAUGCACCGAAGCUGCGGCAGCGACGCUUAUGCGUUGUUGGGUAGGGGAGCGUUCUGUAAGCCUGUGAAGGUGUACUGUGAGGUAUGCUGGAGGUAUCAGAAGUGCGAAUGCUGACAUAAGUAACGAUAAAGCGGGUGAAAAGCCCGCUCGCCGGAAGACCAAGGGUUCCUGUCCAACGUUAAUCGGGGCAGGGUGAGUCGACCCCUAAGGCGAGGCCGAAAGGCGUAGUCGAUGGGAAACAGGUUAAUAUUCCUGUACUUGGUGUUACUGCGAAGGGGGGACGGAGAAGGCUAUGUUGGCCGGGCGACGGUUGUCCCGGUUUAAGCGUGUAGGCUGGUUUUCCAGGCAAAUCCGGAAAAUCAAGGCUGAGGCGUGAUGACGAGGCACUACGGUGCUGAAGCAACAAAUGCCCUGCUUCCAGGAAAAGCCUCUAAGCAUCAGGUAACAUCAAAUCGUACCCCAAACCGACACAGGUGGUCAGGUAGAGAAUACCAAGGCGCUUGAGAGAACUCGGGUGAAGGAACUAGGCAAAAUGGUGCCGUAACUUCGGGAGAAGG
rnacentral:rRNA from 1 species